rnacentral:rRNA from 1 species
UACAGAGGUCUCAAGCGUUGUUCGGAUUCAUUGGGCGUAAAGGGUGUGUAGGUGGCGCCGUAAGUCGGGUGUGAAAUUUCGGAGCUUAACUCCGAAACUGCAUUCGAUACUGCGGUGCUUGAGGACUGGAGAGGAGACUGGAAUUCAUGGUGUAGCAGUGAAAUGCGUAGAGAUCAUGAGGAAGACCAGUGGCGAAGGCGGGUCUCUGGACAGUUCCUGACACUGAAGCACGAAAGCGUGGGGAGCAAACAGG